UCUAAUGCACUAUUACUAAAUAAUAAGAAAACAAGUUGGGGUAGAUGUUAAACCUUGGUCUCACAUCUAUGUCCUUUGUCCACUUUGUCAAGGAUACUAAAACCUGAUGAUUUUCUUCCUGCUUCUAGUACGGACCAAUGGCUGCCGUUGAAUCUGACCAGAUCAGUGCAGAACAUGUAACUACCGAUUCACAAGAAACGCAUAGUGCUUCUCUGGGACGAACUGACAGUUCCAGUUUAUCGGUUGGAGGCCUUUCUUUUAGUCUGCCUGCUGGAUUUAACUCACAUUCAAAUGAUAAUCUUUCUCCAGCAGAACUUGGAGACCAGGCACUUGAUGUUAACAGACAUCACUUGGCUAGUGGUCUCCUAUUGUCUGUGGAAAAUGCUGCAGAAAAUGGACCUGGAAAUCAGCUGACACGUGGUGACUCAAUAGCUCAAGCAAGCAGCAGUGGUGCCUCACUGCGAAGAUUAUUUAGCCUGUCAGGUGCUUCUCGCCCUUAUCUGGACGAGGAUGUAGAAAACGAAUCUGUUUCAUUGGCUGGGGAUAUUGGAGAUAGGAUAGUUAGCAGAAGAGGAAGUCAGAGGCAGAGCGUCCAAUCAUCCAUGGAACGAGGGAUCGCUUUUCCAAAUGCAGAAGAAUUACUGGAUUCAUAUGGCUUUUGGUCUCAUGAUCACACCACAAACACCAUAUCUCCAGUAUCACCAUUGGUGUCUGAAAUCAUAACUCCACUCUCCACAAGUGCUCUCUUGCACAAUAAACAAGAGGAGAAGAAGGAGCUGCCACCACUUUUUGAAUAUUGUGCCUACCUCAUACAUUUGUCUGUCUUUGGAAUUCUUGGGGUUCUUACCAGGUUUCUACUACAGAAACUGUUUGGCUCUAGUGUUAUAGGUGUGACGAGUGACAAGAGCAUCCUAUAUCUUGAUCUACCAUCUAACAUGGUGGGUUCAUUUUUAAUGGGAUGGUUGGGUGUAAUAUUCAAAGGCAAGAUAUCACACAUGUCAGAUCACCUUGCAGUCGGACUUUCCACUGGUUAUCUUGGAAGCCUUACCACCUUCAGUGGUUGGAAUCAGAAAAUGCUCGAUCUUAGCGUCAAUGGGCAUUGGGUAUUCGCUGUAUUGGGCUUUCUCGUAGGGUUGUUUCUUGCUGCUUAUUCUAUUAUUGUUGGAAUCGAGACAGCUAAGGGUUUUAGGUGGCUUCUUGAAAGGACUGGAAAUAGUUCAAGCUUCAGUAAGUUGAGGGUGAAUAACUUUAAGAGUCACUUGAUAGUACUAACAGUAUUAAUGUUGGUGUGGGUUGGUUUGUGGACCACAAGUGGGAUCUUGGAGAACAAAGAAUUUAAAAAUGGCGGCAGUGGUGCUCAACUUUGGUUGGGAUGUCUAGUCGGUCCUUUCGGGGUUUGGUUGAGGUGGUGGCUUGCUCGAUUCAAUGGACGUGGAUUGGGGAAAGCAGGAAGGUGGAAAUGGAUCCCAUUUGGGACAUUGGCUGUUAAUGUGUCCGCAGCAUGCGUGAUGGCAGCUCUUGCUACUGUGAAAAAAGCGGUCAGUACAAAGGAUUGUGACACGGUUUCCUCAGGGAUACAAUUUGGCCUCUUGGGAUGCCUAAGUACUGUCUCCACAUUCAUGGCCGAAUAUAAUGCAAUGAGAGAGAGCAGUCAUCCUUGGAGGGCAUACGUAUAUGCAUUGAUCACCCUCCUGAUAUCAUUUGGCUUGGGAACCUUGAUAUACUCAGUACCUGUGUGGACAUUGGGGUACAAUUAGAGCCUGAGUUUUUUUUUUUUUAGUUUCUUUGAAAUUUAAGUUCAUCACGAAAAUACACAAUACUCGGUGCUAGUUUCAUGUUGAUUAGGCAAGUUUCAUUUUUUGUAAUAGUUGAAUUUUUUGUAAUACCAUGGAAGUGUAUAUAUAGUUAGAUACAAAAUAAUACAUCAGAACUCUGAGUAUCAGUUAUCAGUGUCUUCUGUAUAUGAGAUCAAGUCACAGAACAUGUUCUGAUGUAUUAAAAAAAAUAAAAAACCAUGUAUUAGUCCAUCUUUCUCUCUCCCAACUCUGCAAAGAUCUCCUCCGGCUAAGAAUAUCGGCAGGUACCUUUGUGUCAUUUGAGUAAGCUAAUCCUGUAAAAAAAAAAAAAAUACUACUCUAGUUGAAAUCUGGAUAGGGAAAUUUUCGACGAGAAUAUUUCAAGCAAUUAGCUAGGUUUGAAAGAAACCAUUGUUUGAUGGCGUUGAGACAUGCUCUUGGGUGGUCUGAUGGUGAGCUCAUGCGAUCAGAUGCGAAGCCUUGCUCAAGAUUAAUGAGACAAACAGCUGGGAUUUUUACAGUUGGUGGAGCAUUGGGUUUUUGGGUCUUGUGUAGAAUGCACUGUGCAACCAAAACCCCAAGGGUGUGUACUGACAUCUGUAGAAGUGUGGUCGAGAGAGGACAGCAAGUGAUUGGUAAGAAAUGGUCGAGACAGCAUUGCAAGUGGCUGCAGGAACUCAAGAGUAGCAUUCUGUUUUAGCUUCUGCUUUGUUUUUUGUAUGUUAGGCUGCUGUUUUGUCUGUUUUUUGCUGCUGUCAUGGUUUUCUGGUCAGGAUUUCAGCUUGUUUGCCCUGUUCUGUGCUGGUGCCUGACUUGCUGGUGCUGUGUUGCUGUGUUUCUUGUUGGUGGUGUGUGUUUCUGUCUUGUUCAGGCUGUUAGGAUGCCUGGUCUGAGCUUCUGGCUUUCUGUUUGCUGUCUGCUGUUUGCUGCCUGCUGUUCUGCUGUUCUGCCUGCUGUCUGCUGUUGUGGUUGCGCUGCUGUGUUCAGUGCUGCUUUGCUGACAAGUUGCUGUAUGUUUGUGCUGCUGUUGCACUGUUGUGCUGUUGGUCUGCUGGUUUUGACAGCUCGUGCUGGGUCUGGUGCUGGCUGCCUAGUCGUGGUGUAGCUUCUGGUUACUGUUUUGCUUGUAGCUGCUGCUGGGGUUGCUGGUCGUGGUGUGGCUGUGCUGUCUCAUUCUCUGUUGCAGGCUUGGGGUCAGUGGGAGCUGCUGCAGUCUGCUGUUUUUUUGCCUUAGUUUUUAUUUUAUUUAUCAAAGAUGUAGUGCUCUUUAAUGCUGGUUAGGAAGGUACUCUAUUUUUAUUGACUUUGUGGUAUAUGCUGCCCUCAUUGCUUCAAUAUGCAUUUCUGAGCUUGAUUUUUCAUGUGAUGAUGAUAAAGCUCCAUCAGAUGUAUGACACAAAUAUUGAAGAAAAUA